GCAGUCGAGCGGACAGAUGGGAGCUUGCUCCCUGAUGUUAGCGGCGGACGGGUGAGUAACACGUGGGUAACCUGCCUGUAAGACUGGGAUAACUCCGGGAAACCGGGGCUAAUACCGGAUGGUUGUUUGAACCGCAUGGUUCAAACAUAAAAGGUGGCUUCGGCUACCACUUACAGAUGGACCCGCGGCGCAUUAGCUAGUUGGUGAGGUAACGGCUCACCAAGGCAACGAUGCGUAGCCGACCUGAGAGGGUGAUCGGCCACACUGGGACUGAGACACGGCCCAGACUCCUACGGGAGGCAGCAGUAGGGAAUCUUCCGCAAUGGACGAAAGUCUGACGGAGCAACGCCGCGUGAGUGAUGAAGGUUUUCGGAUCGUAAAGCUCUGUUGUUAGGGAAGAACAAGUACCGUUCGAAUAGGGCGGUACCUUGACGGUACCUAACCAGAAAGCCACGGCUAACUACGUGCCAGCAGCCGCGGUAAUACGUAGGUGGCAAGCGUUGUCCGGAAUUAUUGGGCGUAAAGGGCUCGCAGGCGGUUUCUUAAGUCUGAUGUGAAAGCCCCCGGCUCAACCGGGGAGGGUCAUUGGAAACUGGGGAACUUGAGUGCAGAAGAGGAGAGUGGAAUUCCACGUGUAGCGGUGAAAUGCGUAGAGAUGUGGAGGAACACCAGUGGCGAAGGCGACUCUCUGGUCUGUAACUGACGCUGAGGAGCGAAAGCGUGGGGAGCGAACAGGAUUAGAUACCCUGGUAGUCCACGCCGUAAACGAUGAGUGCUAAGUGUUAGGGGGUUUCCGCCCCUUAGUGCUGCAGCUAACGCAUUAAGCACUCCGCCUGGGGAGUACGGUCGCAAGACUGAAACUCAAAGGAAUUGACGGGGGCCCGCACAAGCGGUGGAGCAUGUGGUUUAAUUCGAAGCAACGCGAAGAACCUUACCAGGUCUUGACAUCCUCUGACAAUCCUAGAGAUAGGACGUCCCCUUCGGGGGCAGAGUGACAGGUGGUGCAUGGUUGUCGUCAGCUCGUGUCGUGAGAUGUUGGGUUAAGUCCCGCAACGAGCGCAACCCUUGAUCUUAGUUGCCAGCAUUCAGUUGGGCACUCUAAGGUGACUGCCGGUGACAAACCGGAGGAAGGUGGGGAUGACGUCAAAUCAUCAUGCCCCUUAUGACCUGGGCUACACACGUGCUACAAUGGACAGAACAAAGGGCAGCGAAACCGCGAGGUUAAGCCAAUCCCACAAAUCUGUUCUCAGUUCGGAUCGCAGUCUGCAACUCGACUGCGUGAAGCUGGAAUCGCUAGUAAUCGCGGAUCAGCAUGCCGCGGUGAAUACGUUCCCG
rnacentral:rRNA from 1 species